rnacentral:RNase_P_RNA from 1 species
UAAGGCAGAUGUUCGCUGCUGCUAUUGCCGAAAGGACGCAGGAGAGGAAAGUCCGGGCUUCACAGGGCAGGGUGCCGGCUAACGGCCGGUGGAGGUGACUCCCAGGAAAGUGCAACAGAAAUUAUACCGCCAUAUUGGUAAGGGUGAAAUGGUAGCGUAAGAGACUACCGCUUUGGUGGUAACAUCAAAGGUCAGUGUAAACCCCACCUGAAGCAAGACCGAACAGAAAACAAAUAGUUGCCCGCUAAGUUUUCGGGUAGGUUGCUUGAGCCUGAUGGCAACAUCAGACCUAGAUAGAUGAACAUCCGCGACAUAACCCGGCUUACAGCCUUACUCAU